rnacentral:rRNA from 1 species
UCAGUAGCGGCGAGUGAGCGGCAAAAGCUCAAAUUUGAAAUCUGGCGUCUUUGGCGUCCGAGUUGUAAUUUGAAGAAGGUAUCUUUGGGCCCGGCUCUUGUCUAUGUUCCUUGGAACAGGACGUCACAGAGGGUGAGAAUCCCGUGCGAUGAGAUGACCCGGGUCUGUGUAAAGUUCCUUCGACGAGUCGAGUUGUUUGGGAAUGCAGCUCUAAGUGGGUGGUAAAUUCCAUCUAAAGCUAAAUAUUGGCGAGAGACCGAUAGCGAACAAGUACAGUGAUGGAAAGAUGAAAAGAACUUUGAAAAGAGAGUGAAAAAGUACGUGAAAUUGUUGAAAGGGAAGGGCUUGAGAUCAGACUUGGUAUUUUGCAUGCUGCUCUCUCGGGGGCGGCCGCUGCGGUUUACCGGGCCAGCAUCGGUUUGGAGCGGCAGGAUAAUGGCGGAGGAAUGUGGCACGGCUUCUGCUGUGUGUUAUAGCCUCUGACGAUACUGCCAGCCUAGACCGAGGACUGCGGUUUUUACCUAGGAUGUUGGCAUAAUGAUCUUAAGUCGCCCGUCUU